rnacentral:tRNA from 1 species
GUUUUAAUAGUUUAAAUUUAAAAACAAUGAUCUUGUAAAUCAUAAAUAGGGGAACCUUUAAAACU